rnacentral:misc_RNA from 1 species
GAAGUGCGAUAAGCAAUGCGAAUUGCAGAAUUCCGCGAAUCAUCAGAUCUUUGAACGCAAAUGGCGCUGAAAGGAUAUCCUUUCAGCAUGUCUAUUUCAGUGUCUGAGAGGUUUCAUACUAAUCUUAAUGUGAUUGAAGGGUUGAAUGAUGAUUGAUACUCUCCUCUCUCAUUCGAUUCUUCUUUCAUGAAAGAUGCGUGAGUGGAUCUUUCGGUCCAAUGAAGUGGUCACAUCACUCGCAUGUGAUUUCAUUGGAGAAAUCACCGAAUUAUCCGUAUACUCACAGUAACAACUACCCCCGAAAAAAUAAGGGGGGAAAAACACCUUCCAGACCCUGCAUCUGAGAUAGACAAGAUCACCCGCUGAACUUAAGC